rnacentral:rRNA from 1 species
UACGAACUGUGCGAACGUUAUUCGGAAUCACUGGGCUUAAAGCGUGUGUAGGCGGAUCGUUAAGUGCCUUGUGAAAUCCCACAGCUCAACUGUGGAACUGCUUGGCAUACUGGCGGUCUUGAGCCAUCUAGGGGUCGCUGGAACAAACGGUGGAGCGGUGAAAUGCGUAGAUAUCGUUUGGAACGCCAAUGGUGAAAACAGGCGACUGGGGAUGUGCUGACGCUGAGACACGAAAGCCAGGGGAGCAAACGGG